GAGGAAUUGAGCCACCAAUGUUCUAUUUUCAAUUGAGUUAAAUAAAUUUUAAUAAAGGUCUUUGCUGCCAUUAGCAGUUGUGACCACCAAAUACCCACAUUACUAGUAUCUGUCUUGCUGGGAAAGCUCUGCUCCAAUUGUUGCUAAAUGUAUUCAAAUACCUACCUGUAUCUCUUCUGCUCAAAUAUGAUUUAUUUGUUUUCAAAGGAAGCCGUAUCAAGACCUGAAUUUAAGAGUUUCCUUUGAUUGCUUUGGCCCCAUGAAAAAUUUUCCCUGCAGUGGAAUGACUUGUUGGCUCCAAGGAAGAAACCACAAGAGGCAGCAGGAAGAGACGGAUUCCCUGGAAGUACCUUCUCAAGGCCAGUGUAGGGCUCCCAAUCACCUCAGCAGAUUCUCCCUCUCCUACUGCCUGCACCAAGCAGGUCUCCAGGAAGAAUUCCAAAUUCUAAAUAUGCUGACUCAUUGCAGAAUGUACCAACUGGAAAGAAAAGAAAGGGAAUCAAACUGCCAAUGUUUUAUUUUCAAUUAUUUUCAUUAAAUGAAUAUUGACAAAGGUCUUUGCUGUCAUUAGUUAUUAG
rnacentral:lncRNA from 1 species